UCCCUCACUACUCCAGGAAGAGGACGACCUUCCCGGAGUAGAGGAGGCAGGUCUUCAGUCAAGGGUAUACGAGAAGCUGCGCUCUCCUGCUAGAACCUCCAAACAAGCUCUCAAGAGCCAAAUCUCUUACUCAACCAGCAAUGAAAAGAAUUGUGUAGGUAUCUUAGAUAGACUCUAAUAGAAUAAGCAGCACAUGAAUACAGCCAUUAAGUACAAGUGGUAUGCUUUCAUAU
rnacentral:sRNA from 1 species